rnacentral:ribozyme from 1 species
UUUUUUUUUUUUUUUUUUUUUUUUUUUUUUUUUUUUUUUUUUU